rnacentral:sRNA from 1 species
AUCGGAAUGGGUCACGCGUGACAAAGCCCUGUUAUGUUUUGUGGUGUGAAUCUUGAAGCAGCUUCGUUGCAUUUGACAUCUUCCACAUGCAUUUGAACAACCUUGGUAGCUGCAUAAGAUGGGUAAAAUUUGUAUCGGCAGAGAUUUUGAGUGGCUGGAGGGUUAUUGCCAUUGCUGAAACUCUUUAGCCCACCAAAGAACUUUUCUAUCUCAUACCCAAUCUUAGCAAAAUCAGCUUGUGGUGCCAUUUCUCAGCUACACAAAGAACAACUCAACAACUGCUCUAUAUUGUCUGACUGUAAAACUUGAAGGCUAUAUA